rnacentral:tRNA from 1 species
GACCCCAUCGUCUAGAGGCCUAGGACACCGGCCUUUCACGCCGGCAACGCGGGUUCGAAUCCCGCUGGGGUCGCCA